GACAAACAGGUCAAAUUAAAAUUUAUACAGUAAAAAGGGGGUUAUGAAGAUGGUGAUAUAAGAAAUUCUAUGCUUUCUAAGAAGGUUAAAUUUGAAUAGAAAGAAGUGAUUUGUUGAUUUCUUAAUUUUGAGGCCCCGAAAUUUCAAGAUAAGACCGGGAUUAGAUACCCCGUUAUUUGGAUUGUAAAUUUUGAUUUAUGAAAAUGGUUUACUUGAGUAUUACGAGUGCAGAUGAAUAAAUGGGGGAAUUAUUUAUUUGCUUUUUCUUAAAACUUAAAGAACUUGGCGGUGCCUUAAGUCCUUCCAGGGGAACCUGUCCUAUAAUUGAUAGUCCACAAUUUAACUUUCCUUUUAUUGAAGAACUUGUGUUCUCAGCUUGUAUACCGUCGUCGUCAGAUUACCUUUAAGAGUAAUGAAGUUAUCAGAAAGAAUAUGCUAUUGUGAUGGACGUGAGUGUUCAUAUGACGUAGCGAUUUCUGGACGUCAGAUCAAGGUGCAGCUAAUGAAAAGGUAGAGAUGGGUUACAAUAAUUAGUUGUUAUACGAAUUUCUUGUUGUAAUAAGGGAAUGAAGGAGGACUUGGAAGUAAUUACAAGAGUAAGAGAGCUUUAGUGAAUGAUGGUUCUGAGGCGUGC
rnacentral:rRNA from 1 species